CUCAGAGUUGACAAGAAUUUGGAAGCCCUGACAUCCUAUAAAAUGUUACUUGCCCAGAAUUGAAACUUUCAAAUUCAGGUCCUUCUUCCUACUCUACUGAUGAAUUAGAUUUUCUUAGUUUCCCACCAAGGGACACUUUCUAUCACAUUGCUCACAGACAAGACAUAUCUACCCCCCUUCACCCCCACCCAGUGGCUCUUUCCACACCACUGCACCCACCAGGGCAUUUGCAUAUUGUCCUCUAGGGAGGACCUUCCCUCGUGAGUCUGAGAUAAAAACUCAGCUCUAACCUUCCCUGAUCAGGACUCCUCAGUUCACCUUCUCACAAUGAGGCUCCCUGCUCAGCUCCUGGGGCUGCUGAUGCUCUGGGUCCCUGGAUCCAGUGGGGAUAUUGUGAUGACCCAGACUCCACUCUCCCUGCCCAUCACCCCUGGAGAGCCAGCCUCCAUCUCCUGCAGGUCUAGUCAGAGCCUCCUGCAUAGUAAUGGAAACACCUAUUUGCACUGGUACCUGCAGAAGCCAGGCCAGUCUCCGCAGCUCCUGAUUUAUGGGGGUUCCAACAGAGCCUCUGGAGUGCCAGACAGGUUCAGUGGCAGUGGGUCAGGCACAGAUUUCACACUGAAAAUCAGCCAGGUGGAGGCUGAGGAUGUCAGGGUUUAUUACUGCAUGCAAGCUUUACAAACUCCUCCCACAUUGAUACAGCCCUUAACAGUAACCUCCCUGUUUGGAUGGCCCAGCUGCCCACAUGUACUGCUUGUCUGGGGAGCAGCUCAGCAGAGUCUCUGAGUCUGCAGAGAGGAG